rnacentral:tRNA from 1 species
UGGGCUGUAGCUCAGUGGUAGAGUGCUUGCCUUGCAUGCACAAGGUCUUUGGUUCAAUCCCCAGCACCACAC